UACGGGGGGGGCAAGCGUUGUUCGGAAUUACUGGGCGUAAAGGGCUCGUAGGCGGCCAACUAAGUCAGACGUGAAAUCCCUCGGCUUAACCGGGGAACUGCGUCUGAUACUGGGUGGCUUGAGUUUGGGAGAGGGAUGCGGAAUUCCAGGUGUAGCGGUGAAAUGCGUAGAUAUCUGGAGGAACACCGGUGGCGAAGGCGGCGUCCUGGACCAACACUGACACUGAUGAGCGAAAGCCAGGGGAGCAAACGGG
rnacentral:rRNA from 1 species